UGCAAUUUGCUGUACCAAAAAUGGCGACCGCUGCCUCAACUAUCUCGCUAAAGCCUAAAGCAUCAAUAGCUACCUCCAUUUCCAAACCCUCCCUUUCUUUCUCAUCUCCUCGGUCUAUAAAACUCCCCUCUAUUCAUCCACACUCAACCUUCAAACCGCUCACCUCCAACGCGCGUUCUGUCCUCGUUCCACGCUCCACCGCCACUCCCUCUUCCACCACUUCCACAAUCGCAACCACUUUUCAUGGACUCUGCUACGUUGUUGGAGACAACAUCGACACCGACCAAAUAAUUCCCGCCGAGUAUCUAACCCUUGUACCUUCAAACCCAGCCGAAUACGAAAAGCUUGGCUCUUAUGCCUUAAUUGGCCUUCCAGCCUCUUAUGAAACCAGGUUCAUUGAACCGGGUGAAACGAAGACCAAAUACUCAAUAGUGAUUGGAGGCGAUAAUUUUGGAUGCGGAUCAUCG
rnacentral:lncRNA from 1 species